GCACAAUGGGCGCAAGCCUGAUGCAGCCAUGCCGCGUGUAUGAAGAAGGCCUUCGGGUUGUAAAGUACUUUCAGCAGUGAGGAAGGUGGGUAUGUUAAUAGCAUAUUCAUUUGACGUUAGCUGCAGAAGAAGCACCGGCUAACUCCGUGCCAGCAGCCGCGGUAAUACGGAGGGUGCGAGCGUUAAUCGGAAUUACUGGGCGUAAAGCGCAUGCAGGUGGUUUGUUAAGUCAGAUGUGAAAGCCCGGGGCUCAACCUCGGAAUUGCAUUUUGAAACUGGCAAACUAGAGUACUGUAGAGGGGGUAGAAUUUCAGGUGUAGCGGUGAAAUGCGUAGAGAUCUGAAGGAAUACCGGUGGCGAAGGCGGCCCCCUGGACAGAUACUGACACUCAGAUGCGAAAGCGUGGGGAGCAAACAGGAUUAGAUACCCUGGUAG
rnacentral:rRNA from 1 species